UACAGAGGUCUCAAGCGUUGUUCGGAUUCAUUGGGCGUAAAGGGUGCGUAGGUGGCGAGGUUAGUCAGGUGUGAAAGCCCGAGGCUCAACCUCGGAACUGCCUUCGAUACUGCGGGUCUCGAGUCCGGGAGAGGUGAGUGGAAUUCCUAGUGUAGAGGUGAAAUUCGUAGAUAUUAGGAAGAACACCAGUGGCGAAGGCGGCUCACUGGCCCGGUACUGACGCUGAGGCGCGAAAGCGUGGGGAGCAAACAGG
rnacentral:rRNA from 1 species